AUAAAUUAAAAAAAAAAAAAAAAAAAAAAAAAAAAAUCUGUUCUUAUCAGUUUAAUAUCUGAUACGUCCCCUACCCGGGGACCGUAUAUUAAAUUGAGUUUUGGAGCAGGGAGAUGGAAUAGGGGCUUGCUCCGUCCACUCCACGCAUCGACCCAGUAUUGCAGUACUUCUGGGAACGGUGCACCCCCU
rnacentral:snRNA from 1 species